GCCUAGGUGGCUCAGUCAGUAGAGCUUGCGACUCUUGAUCUGGGGUUGUGGGUUUGAGCCCCACAUUGGGUA
rnacentral:tRNA from 1 species